rnacentral:sRNA from 1 species
GGUCAAUUAAUAUUAGUGUGGGAUUUACAAUUAAUUGACAACAACCAGUUACAGAUUCUCUUAUUCCUUCUCCACUCUCACUGCUUCACUUGACCUGGU